rnacentral:rRNA from 1 species
GCGAACAGACGAGGAGCUUUGCUCCUCUGACGUUAGCGGCGGACGGGUGAGUAACACGUGGAUAACCUACCUAUAAGACUGGGAUAACUUCGGGAAACCGGAGCUAAUACCGGAUAAUAUAUUGAACCGCAUGGUUCAAUAGUGAAAGACGGUUUUGCUGUCACUUAUAGAUGGAUCCGCGCCGCAUUAGCUAGUUGGUAAGGUAACGGCUUACCAAGGCAACGAUGCGUACCCGACCUGAGAGGGUGAUCGGCCACACUGGAACUGAGACACGGUCCAGACUCCUACGGGAGGCAGCAGUAGGGAAUCUUCCGCAAUGGGCGAAAGCCUGACGGAGCAACGCCGCGUGAGUGAUGAAGGUCUUCGGAUCGUAAAACUCUGUUAUUAUGGAAGAACAAAUGUGUAAUUAACUAUGCACGUCUUGACGGUACCUAAUCAUGAAGCCACGGCUAACUACGUGCCAACACCCGCGGUAAUUACGUAGGUGGCAAGCGUUAUCCGGAAUUAUUGGGGCGUAAAGCGCGCGUAGGCGGUUUUUUAGUCUGAUGUGAAAGCCCACGGCUCAAACGUGGAGGGUCAUUGGAAACUGGAAAACUUGAGUGCAGAAGAGGAAAGUGGAAUUCCAUGUGUAGCGGUGAAAUGCGCAGAGAUAUGGAGGAACACCAGUGGCGAAGGCGACUUUCUGGUCUGUAACUGACGCUGAUGUGCGAAAGCGUGGGGAUCAAACAGGAUUAGAUACCCUGGUAGUCCACGCCGUAAACGAUGAGUGCUAAGUGUUAGGGGGUUUCCGCCCCUUAGUGCUGCAGCUAACGCAUUAAGCACUCCGCCUGGGGAGUACGACCGCAAGGUUGAAACUCAAAGGAAUUGACGGGGACCCGCACAAGCGGUGGAGCAUGUGGUUUAAUUCGAAGCAACGCGAAGAACCUUACCAAAUCUUGACAUCCUCUGACCCCUCUAGAGAUAGAGUUUUCCCCUUCGGGGGACAGAGUGACAGGUGGUGCAUGGUUGUCGUCAGCUCGUGUCGUGAGAUGUUGGGUUAAGUCCCGCAACGAGCGCAACCCUUAAGCUUAGUUGCCAUCAUUAAGUUGGGCACUCUAAGUUGACUGCCGGUGACAAACCGGAGGAAGGUGGGGAUGACGUCAAAUCAUCAUGCCCCUUAUGAUUUGGGCUACACACGUGCUACAAUGGACAAUACAAAGGGCAGCGAAACCGCGAGGUCAAGCAAAUCCCAUAAAGUUGUUCUCAGUUCGGAUUGUAGUCUGCAACUCGACUAUAUGAAGCUGGAAUCGCUAGUAAUCGUAGAUCAGCAUGCUACGGUGAAUAUGUUCCCGGGUCU